AAUUAGCAGAGGUCUCCCAGGAGGACUUUCCUUCCUUGAGUGCUCAUUGCAAAGCACUUCUGCUGCAGUCCUGUGGCAAUGGUCACUGUUGGAGUAGGAGGAAUUGCCUAGGGAUUCCAGCUACAGCAACGGGGGCUGAAUUUCUCUAUUGAAGUCAACACAAAGGAAGGCAAAAACUGUUGUUUCUUGGGAAAUUGGCCCACUCUGGUGGAAGAUGCUAAUAUGGACACUAUGGGUGGAAACAUCUGGACAAAGAUGCUCCACGCCAUACAUCCAGCCUGCCAGUGUCUGCUCAUUGCCCUUUUUCUCUUCUUAAAAAGUGAAAUAUUUUGGGAGAAUAGCUCCUUUUUGCUGCAAGUUUAUACAGCAUAUCGUCCAAAGUGGCUCUGGGCCACUAUCAGACACAGCUCCAAACAGUACCUCUAAAUGAACACACUUUCUCCUGCUCCAUUACCAACUUCUGAGGCUUCCCUGGUGAGGAUCCCAGCUCAGCUGGGCUCCAUUUCCACGGGGAGAGGCACAGGAGAGACAGACGUGCUCCUUUAAGGCAGGGCUCCACACACCUCGGGCAGAGCAUCACCGUAACGUGAUGCGGCAGUUGCUAAGGUAACAGCACCAACAUAUUUUUUCAUGAAUAGCAAAGCAAAUUGUCAUGGAAGAGUAAAACCCACACGCGUUGCCAGGAUAUAUGUUCUGUUGCCCCGGGGUUACAAGUAUUUACAGGCUGUUUCUUUUUUUUCCCAUCUUGAAAAAUGCUCCUACGUGUCCCCAUGUACUACCGAUGUCCAGGUUGCAGCUGCCUUUGUUCACUCCCAGCACAGACACCAAACAGAGGUGGUGUGUUUGGCCAAAGCACGGCAGGGAACUUCAUUUGUGUCUUCCAAGAUGCCCCCACGUGUGGUUCUUUGCUUCACUCCUUGGCUGACCAUGUGUUUAUGCCUCCUAAUUGUAUUGGGCUGCUGAUUCGGGGUCAGCAAGGCUGCGUCCCAUGUGUUUUACUUGCUGUGUUAGCAUUAGGGGUUCAAAAUGCACCUGAAGGACUGAGGAAAUAGAAAAGGAAGAUGCAUGUAUGGAUCUGAAAAGAUGGCUUGGUUUUUUUCUAACUUUCAGAAAACAACUCUCAUCCUCUGCAGCCCUUCACCUCCCAGCUCAGAAGCAGGUGGAGGAGCAGACUCUGCCAGACUACAGUCCACCCCCUAAUGCUUUGGGGAGACUAAGCAAGAACAGGUCAGCAGCCAGCAGUGCGCAUCAGGAAUGGUGAGAACCAGUCUCUUGCAUUAGAAACCAGAAAUAAAACAGCAGCUGAAGAGCCGUGGAGGUGCAGAAGGUGAAUAGGAAGGGAGCUGAAACAAAGCACAGUGUGUGGCUGCAGGACCUUCCUCCAGCACCAGCCAUGGGGAACUUUCUCAUUAAAACAAUGUGGAUAGUGUUCCUCAGCUCUCUGCCACUUGUUUUGGCGAAGAGAUGAGACCGUUCCCAUUGCUGCAGCAGUCUGGGAUGACCCCAAGGCACAACCAGCUCUCAGCUGCACUGCCCCAGGCAGUAUGGGAUUGGUUACAGCUCUCUCCCUGUAAUUUGCCUUGAGUUUUCUAUUCCUAGUGCAAACAGCACACACACGUUUUACCUUUGUGUCCUGUGAAUUCCUGGAGCCUUUACAGGUGUAUCCAACAUUUCCAGGUGGUAGCACAGCUAGUUCCACUGGAGACAUUGCCUUUCCCUUUGUUUUUGGUUUGUUGUAUUUUUAACUCAUCAGAUGUUUCUGUCCAAGCCUCACAGUUGGAAAUAUUGUUGCACUGCUUUUAAAGAGCAGAACAAUGCCUUUUCUGCUCUGUUCAUUUUUGAGAUAAUUCAAGGACUUGAGCAAGAAGGAUAAAACCUCAGCCAGGCCACGCACUGUGCAAACAUCCCUUCC
ensembl:lncRNA